AGCGAACGCUGGCGGCAGGCCUAACACAUGCAAGUCGAACGAAGUCUUCGGACUUAAUGGGGGACGGGUGAGUAACACGUGGGAACGUGCCUUUAGGUUCGGAAUAACUCAGGGAAACUUGUGCUAAUACCGACUGUGCCCCUCGGGGGAAAGAUUUAUCGCCUUUAGAGCGGCCCGCGUCUGAUUAGCUAUUUGGUGAGGUAAAGGCUCACCAAGGCGACGAUCAGUAGCUGGUCUGAGAGGAUGAUCAGCCACAUUGGGACUGAGACAUGGCCCAAACUACUACGGGAAGCAGCAGUGGGGAAUCUUGCGCAAUGGGCGAAAGCCUGACGCAGCCAUGCCGCGUGAAUGAUGAAGGUCUUAGGAUUGUAAAAUUCUUUCGCCGGGGACGAUAAUGACGGUACCCGGAGAAGAAGCCCCGGCUAACUUCGUGCCAGCCGCCGCCGUAAAAC
rnacentral:rRNA from 1 species